rnacentral:misc_RNA from 1 species
UUUGUAUGGGUGCUGCAUGGAGGGACACAGUUGGAAGGAAGACCAACUUUAACCAGAUCCUAGAUUAUGUAAAAGAAAUAAGGGAUAUGGGCAUGGAAGUAUGCUGUACUCUAGGAAUGUUAGAGAAACAACAGGCUCAAGAACUCAAAAAAGCGGGCCUUACUGCUUAUAAUCAUAAUCUUGACACCUCGAGAGAAUAUUACCCACAUAUAAUCACAACAAGGACUUACGAUGAACGCUUGAAAACCCUUGAAUAUGUCAGAGAAGCAGGAAUCAAUGUCUGCUCAGGAGGCAUAAUAGGGCUUGGAGAAGCGGAGGAAGACCGCGUUGGUCUGUUGCAUACCUUGGCAACACUCCCUACUCACCCAGAGAGUGUUCCAAUCAAUGCACUCUUGGCAGUAAAAGGCACACCUCUACAAGAUCAGAAGCCUGUUGAAAUAUGGGAGAUGAUUCGAAUGAUUGCUACUGCUCGAAUAGUCAUGCCAAAAGCAAUGGUCAGGUUGUCAGCUGGUAGAGUCCGUUUCUCGAUGCCCGAACAGGGUCUCUGUUUCCUUGCUGGUGCAAAUUCUAUCUUUACUGGUGAGAAGCUGUUGACAACUCCUAACAAUGAUUUUGAUGCUGAUCAACUCAU